ACGGCUCAGUAACACGUGGAUAACCUAACCUUAGGACUGGAAUAACCCCGGGAAACUGGGGAUAAUACGGAUAUGUGGGGCUGCCUGGAAUGGUACCUCAUUGAAAUGCUACGGCGCCUAAGGAUGGAUCUGCGGCAGAUUAGGUAGUUGGCGGGGUAAAUGCCCACCAAGCCAGUAAUCUGUACGGGUUGUGAGAGCAAGAGCCCGGAGAUGGAACCUGAGACAAGGUUCCAGGCCCUACGGGGUGCAGCAGGCGCGAAACCUCCGCAAUGUGAGAAAUCGCGACGGGGGGAUCCCAAGUGCCAUUCUUAACGGGAUGGCUUUUCAUUAGUGUAAAGAGCUUUUGGAAUAAGAGCUGGGCAAGACCGGUGCCAGCCGCCGCGGUAACACCGGCAGCUCUAGUGGUAACAAUUUUUAUUGGGCCUAAAGCGUCCGUAGCCGGUUUAAUAAGUCUCUGGUGAAAUCCUGUAGCUUAACUGUGGGAAUUGCUGGAGAUACUAUUAGACUUGAGACCGGGAGAGGUUAGAGGUACUCCCAGGGUAGAGGUGAAAUUCUGUAAUCCUGGGAGGACCGCCUGUUGCGAAGGCGUCUAACUGGAACGGUUCUGACGGUGAGGGACGAAAGUUAGGGGCGCGAACCGGAUUAGAUACCCGGGUAGUCCUAACUGUAAACGAUGCGGACUUGGUGUUGGGGUGGCUUUGAGCUGCUCCAGUGCCGAAGGGAAGCUGUUAAGUCCGCCGCCUGGGAAGUACGGUCGCAAGACUGAAACUUAAAGGAAUUGGCGGGGGAG
rnacentral:rRNA from 1 species